AAUGAACGCUGGCGGCAUGCCUAACACAUGCAAGUCGAACGAGACCACCGUGACUAGUGGCGCACGCGUGCGUCAAGCGUGGGAACCUGCCCUUAGGUUCGGAAUACCUCUCCGACAGGGGUGCUAAUACCGGAUAAUGUCUUCGGACAAAAGAUUUAUCGCACUUGGAUGGGCCCGCGUUGGUUUAGCUUGUUGGUAGGGUAAAAGCCUACCAAGGCGACGCUCCAUAGCUGGUCUGAGAGGAAGCUCAGCCACACUGGGAGUGAGACACGGCCCGGACUCCUACGGGAGGCAGCAGUGGGGGAUAUUGGACUAUGGGCGAAGGCCUGAUCCAGCAAGGCCUGGUGAGUGAUGAAGGCCUUAGAGUAGUAAAGCUCUUUUACCCGGGAUUAUAAUGACAGUACCGGGAGAAUAAGCACCGGCUAACUCCGUG
rnacentral:rRNA from 1 species